rnacentral:rRNA from 1 species
GCUUACCAUGCAGUCGAACGAUGACGGAGAGCUUGCUCUUCUGAUUAGUGGCGAACGGGUGAGUAACACGUGAGCAAUCUGCCCUUGACUCUGGGAUAAGCGUUGGAAACGACGUCUAAUACCGGAUACGACCCUUGGAGGCAUCUCUGGGGGUGGAAAGAAUUUUGGUCAGGGAUGAGCUCGCGGCCUAUCAGCUAGUUGGUGAGGUAAUGGCUCACCAAGGCGACGACGGGUAGCCGGCCUGAGAGGGUGACCGGCCACACUGGGACUGAGACACGGCCCAGACUCCUACGGGAGGCAGCAGUGGGGAAUAUUGCACAAUGGGCGAAAGCCUGAUGCAGCAACGCCGCGUGAGGGACGACGGCCUUCGGGUUGUAAACCUCUUUUAGUAGGGAAGAAGCGAAAGUGACGGUACCUGCAGAAAAAGCACCGGCUAACUACGUGCCAGCAGCCGCGGUAAUACGUAGGGUGCAAGCGUUGUCCGGAAUUAUUGGGCGUAAAGAGCUCGUAGGCGGUUUGUCGCGUCUGCUGUGAAAACCCGAGGCUCAACCUCGGGCCUGCAGUGGGUACGGGCAGACUAGAGUGCGGUAGGGGAGAUUGGAAUUCCUGGUGUAGCGGUGGAAUGCGCAGAUAUCAGGAGGAACACCAAUGGCGAAGGCAGAUCUCUGGGCCGUAACUGACGCUGAGGAGCGAAAGCAUGGGGAGCGAACAGGAUUAGAUACCCUGGUAGUCCAUGCCGUAAACGUUGGGAACUAGAUGUGGGGACCAUUCCACGGUCUCCGUGUCGCAGCUAACGCAUUAAGUUCCCCGCCUGGGGAGUACGGCG